UGCACGGUGGCGCAGUUGGUAGCACUGUUGCCUGGGUUCGAUUCCCAGCCGGGGGUCUUUCUGCAU